CCACCUUUCUUUCUAUGUCGUAACCCUGCUUUGUCACCGAGACCAUAGGUACCUGUCUCCGUUAAGACGCGAGUCACCAUUUAAAUCAUUCCUCCAUGCAAGCCUUAUCUUUGCAAAGCUACCGCGCUACUUCUUGCACCACAUCUCUCCCCUAUCAAAACCAUAAUUGAAUCGAGGCAGCAACAAUGCAGAUGGAUAUGGACUAAUGUAGCGUCGAAGUAUACUGCCUUGUGCAGACGGGUAUGGACUAAUCCAUGGGAGCCAUAUCAUGUCAAAGUUUGAAGGUACGAAAAGGUAAUCUUGAUUAUACAAUAGAUUAAUGAUGGUUUUAAUUAAAACUAAUCUUAACCCUCUAUCUUAUUAUUGUAAGUUGCAUGCUCAAUAUUAAGUUUUCUAGUGAGAGUAUACUCUCAUUUGUCUAUACAUUUUCUGCAAAUAUACUUCAAAUAUCUGUCUGCUUGUAUACAUACAACACACUCAUGUAGAAAGACACUAAAGACUAUAGUUAAAUUAAGUAAGAUACAUGAGAUGGACAUGAUAUGAUAGGGAAGAUGGAAUACAAGUAACAUCUUACAAGCAUUGUUUGGUUUAAAACAAAAGGACAAAGUUCAAGUACUGUCCAAGUUUGACACACAGCUUUAUUCUUAUUCAUACAUUUGUUUUGUGUCAUUUACAAAUCACAAGCAACCAGAAUCAGAAUCAGGUGCAUGAUUCUUAACCCUUUUAAUUAAGUCAAGAACCUUUCGAACAAGUUCCCAAAGAAGAAGCUUACUCUAGCCCAUCCUCGAGACGUUUCUGGUGCUUUGGUGUUGGCUGGUACCUUCUUCACAUUGACCAUCACAGUCUGGCCGAUUUCUUUACGCAGUGCUUCAAUGAUGUUCAUAUCCACAGGGUUCCCAUAUGCAUCUCUCACAUAGAAAACAUUUAGUCCUUUCUCUCCUAUGGUUGACACACCUGCCCUACAAACUGUUAAGCCGUUCUCUCGUAGAAUCCUAGUCACUUCAGACAGCAAGCCCACUCUAUCCUUUGCACACAGCUCAAGGCUCACACCCUGUGUCCAUCACCCAGAGGAUCAAUGGUAACGACACUAUCAUCUUGUGUGUUAGUUUCUUCAUCAUUCAUUAACUAAUUAAUUAAUUUAUUGUAUGAAGAAUAAUUAAUGUAAAUGCAUGAUAGCUGGUCAAGCAUAAAUAUGACUGAUGGUGACAUGCAGCAUUUGUCACAUUCAACACUAUUAAUUAAUUAUAGUCCCUUCAAAAUCACGAUAGUUUAACCUUAGUCUAUAAAACUUUUACCAUCUAUAGUCAGUCCUGUAAGAUAUAAAAACUGUGGUUUCAGUCCUGUUGAAAACUAAUAAAAUUAUGCAGUUUUUGUUAAAUAUAGAGACUAAAAAUGAAUAAAAAAAUUAUACGGACUAAAGUUAGACAAUCAUGAUUUUAUAAGGACAAGAAUAUAUUUUAACAUUUUUUUCGUUCAUAUUUUGAGGUUAUAGGGAUUUGAAUGAUAUUACGUGUGGAGCAUAAGGAUUCUUAAGCUCUAGUGAAGACAAAAGACCAUCAACCGUCACCGGUGGAUACGAUGGUCAGAUACAAUCUGAGUGGAACUUAUCACCAUGUAUGUAUACCGUACCAUUCGCAACAAUACAAGCAGAUAGCUGCAGGUUCAAAAUGUAUUAAUUUGGUCAAACUCAGAAGACUUUCUGCUAAAGAAAAUGAGAAGAAAAGAAAAGAAUAGUAGAUCGCCGGCGUCAGCUAGAAUAACACACAUGAAGCUAUGGGGAAUACAUGCCAAGAGAAACAUCAAGUCACUAACCAAGUUCCAUAAUAGAGCAUGAAAGAAGAGUUGAGAACCAGAAGUUCAUCCUUGUCUUUUUUAGUAAUGGUUAAAGUAGCAUAAAAAAUAAAAUUUAAAAUGUACAUUACCUCGCUUACUCUUCUUUGAAUAGCUGCUUCAAUGCAUUUAAUGACCCUUUCUUUCUCCCCUUCAGUGUCAAGUGUGCAUCCAUCCACGUGCCUAAUGAAGUACUCCUAAUAAUUACCACAUCAACAUAGUAUUAGUUCCUCUUGGGAUAAACAACUUAAUUUGCUGCUUACAGCACAAGCGCUUAUCAUGAUAAAUAUACCGAAUGGAAUGUUGUUGUCAAUAAAUAAUGUAUGCAUACCUGUGAAGCAUAAGGCCCAUCAGAUGAGAUGGAGGCAUGAAAAACAACAUAUUCCAUGUCAGUAAGAGUGCAGACAAUGUCAAACAUCAAUUUUGCCCGAUCUUUGCAUCUCACACUAACCACUGAGUAGCCUUUUUCUUCAAUACGUUCUAUUUCAAUAUUGGGCCUGAAAGAGGGAGGAGAAUCAACAUUUGUUGCUGUUGUUACUCCACCAGCACUCUCAUAAUCCCUAUCAGCAAACAACAUUUGGUGGAGCCUUCUGUCCAUGUGGGUGAAGGUGAAACCCAUGGAGAAACUGGUCCGGGCCACAUUGUCAUCAUCCUCACAACCACGAAGGAUGUGGUUGAGCUUCUCGUCAAGAAGAGACAAUCUUUUUGAAUCAUCAUCCACAGCUUGGUUUGUUGCAUCAUUGACAUAAAGUACACAUGCUAUUCGCCUGUUAUGAGUCCAAACUUCAGCUGCAAUCACAUUGAAUUGGAAGCUUGCCAGGACAGCUGAUAUCUCAGACAAAAGACCUGGGCGGUCCCGACCAAUGAGCUCAAUGGCUGUAUGAUCACCAAUGGAGUGAAUGCCAACCCGUUUGCCUUCCCAACUCUUCACACCUUCUGGGCUCUUGCGGCCCUUUGGUCCUAGAGCCUAUUUAAAUGUUCACAACUAGUUGAUACAAGGGUGC
rnacentral:lncRNA from 1 species